rnacentral:snRNA from 1 species
GGAUGUGAGGGCAGUCUGUCACCCCAUUGAUCACCAGGAUUGAUUCAGCUGAUCUGGCUGGCUAGGUGGGUGUCCUCUUCCUCCCUCACCAUUCCAUGUGCAUCAUUCCCAAAUCUGUGCUAUCGCUCAAGAGGACAACCUUCCCUUGAACAGAGAUGAACCAGUCUUCGGUAGAGAGUAUACAGAGUAGCUUCACUCCACUGCUAGAACAUCCAAAAAAAAAACCUCAUGCUUGAAGACCAGGUUGAAGCCCUCACUCCCCACCUGUGGCAGAGCAAUGUUGCAGGUG